CUCUCUCUAGAACGUCCAACUAGUGAGAGAAAGUGUGAAAACCAAAUUUUUGAAGGCUUUUAAAGUGAGAGGAUGAAAGAAUUCAAAGGUUCUAGUCAAAAAGGUUCAAAGGUGUGAAAACUAGAGCUAGAGAGAGAAAAUCACUCAAGCUUCAAAUCAAGCUUCCAUGAAGUUUUGAAGAAACGUGAGAGAGGAGAAGAAGAAAAAGAAGACCAGCUACUAGAAAUUCAAGAAGGUGCUAGAAAUUUCCAGAUAUUUAUAAGCCAACUUAUCCAUUCCCAUAAAAUUAUGAAAAUGCCCUUCCACCAAUUAACUUAUUCCCCUCUAAUAUUUGAUGCAAUCUUUUUGCUCUUUUAACACUAGGACAAGAUUCAUAAUGGUCUAAACAUACUCGGGUUCAUAAAAACAUAAAAUUUUAACCCGAGAUGAAAAUUGUUGACACUUUUAGUUUUCUUCGUGUUUUCAUCAGCACACAUCAUUUAUACUGUCUUAUGCCUAUUUAGGCCUUAAAAUAUCAUAAAACUUUCUUCUGGAAGCUUAUUAGAGAAAAUAAAGAAACUACCCCUAGCCUAUAUUAUUACAUAUAUACUUAGUUGCAAGCCUAUAGAAGUUGGGGUAUCACAUUCUCCCCCACUUAAGGAAAUUCGAUCCCCGAAUUUAAAUUCACUAUAAGGUAACGUACCUCUAAGUAUGAAAGGAUGGGGAUACUUUGUUUGCAUCUCUUCCUCGGCUUCCCACGUUACCUCCUCGCUAGUGUGAUUUCACCACAACACUUUCACUGAUGCUACUUCCUUUAAACGGAGCUUUUUAACUUGCCUAUCAAGGAUAGCUACCGGUUGCUCUUCAUAGGUUAGAUCAUCUUGCAACUGAAUGGUUUCAUACCGUAUAACAUGUGAUGGAUCUGGGUUGUACUUCCUAAGCAUGGACACAUGAAACACGGGAUGAAUAUUCGAAAGGUCUGGCGGUAAUGCCAAACGAUAUGCCACUGCUCCAACCUUUUCUAAGAUCUCAAAGGGUCUAAUGUACCGAGGACUUAACUUCCUUUUCUUGCCAAACCUCAUUACCCCUUUAGUUGGUGAAACUUUUAAAAAUACAUGACCUCCUACUUGGAACUCCAAGUCUCUCCGUCGGUUAUCAGCAUAUGACUUUUGUCUACUUUGUGCUGUUAACAUCCUCUGACGGAUCAUGCUUAUUUUCUCUGUUGCAUCCUACACCAACUCAGGCCCCAAAAGUUUCCUUUCUCCCACCUCUAGCCAUCCAAUGGGUGACCUACACCUCCGUCCAUAUAAUGCCUAAAAUGGUGCCAUUUGAAUGCUUGAUUGGAAACUGUUGUUGUAGGCAAAUUCCACUAAGGGUAGAUAUUGACCCCACCGGACCCCAAGGUCUAUCCCACAAGCCCUCAACAUAUCCUCCAAUGUUUGUAUGGUCCGUUCAGACUAUCCAUCAGUUUGAGGGUGGAAAGCUGUGCUGAAAUCCAACUUAGUACCCAAUGCUUCCUGCAACUUUCCCCAAAACCUACUAGUAAAUUGAGCUCCUCUGUCAGAUACUAUAGAAAUGGGAAUACCAUGUAGUCGUACUAUCUCAUCCACAUAAACUCGAGCGUAUUGGGCAGCCCCGUAAGUAGUCUUAAUCAGAAGAAAAUGAGUUGAAUUUGUUAACCGGUCUACUACUAUCCAAAUUGAAUCAUAUCCCCCACUAGUUCGAGGCAAACCCGUUACAAAAUCCAUGGCAAUAUGCUCCCACUUCCACUCGAGCACUAGUAAUGGCUGUAAUAGCCCUGCAAGCUUUUGAUGCUCAGCCUUAACCUACUGACAAACCAGGCACUUGGAGACAAACUCAGCUACAUCUCUCUUAAGUCCUUCCCACCAAUACACAUCUCUUAAAUCUUGAUACAUUUUUAUAGCCCCUGGAUGUACCACAUAAGUUGCCAUGUGAGCUUCCUCCAAUAUUUCUCUCCUCAACCCGUCACCAUCAGGCACAUAAAGUCUGGUUUCAUACCUCAACACUCCAUCUGUGCCUUUGGUAAACAUUUUUCCUUUCCUUCCCUGAGGAUCCUCUAAGGCCUUAACUGCAAAAUCAUCUUUACUUUGUGCUUCUUUGAUUCGGUCCAUUAAGAUAGGCCUUACUCUAAAAUGUGCUAGCAAUGCAUCUAUCUCCGCAGCUUCCAAAUGCACACCUAUGUCUCCCAAGCUAUGGAUCUCUCUAACCAAUGAUCUCCUAUCAGUAGAAAUAUGUGCCAAACUUCCCAUUGAUUUUCGACUCAAGGCAUCCGCCACUACAUUGGCCUUACCAAGAUGAUAAAGAAUAGUAUAAUCAUAAUCCUUUAGCAACUCCAUCCAUCUACGUUGCCGCAAGUUAAGAUCCUUCUGCUGAAAUAUAUACUUCAAGCUUUUGUGGUCCGUAUAUAUCUCACAAGUCUCACCAUACAAAUAAUGUCUCCAAAUUUUCAAGGCAAACACGAUUGCUGCCAUUUCCAAAUCGUGUGCAGGGUAAUUUUGCUCAUGCCUUUUAAGUUGCCUGGAUGCAUACGCAAUCACUUUCCCAUGUUGCAUUAAUACACAUCCUAAACCAACACCCGAUGCAUCACAAAACACAAUAUAACUGUCACGACCCAAUUUCCCGAGCCAUGACCGACGCAUGAGCUCAAUGAGCAUAGCUCACUAAGCCCAAGCAAGCCUAUCCAUUUACCUUUGCUUAACAAAUUUAUCAUAUCAUGCAUACACACACACCUUUUCCCGGGUGUGAACAUAGCCAAAACACAAUGGCAUUAUCGAUAAUAAUAUACAUGCACUAUACCAGUCAUGUAUUUAGCAAUUUACAUUGCAUACACAUAUUCACAUUGUUAGAUUGUUUUCACAAUACAAAAGGACCCAUGACUUCCAGCGGAGACAUUUACAAUAAAAGGGAUUACUAUCGAAUGCCAGACACAUACCCAGGAGAUGCACUACGGGGACUCCUCGAUCUAGGGUCCAACAGUCACCUGAUCUGAAAACAUGAAUUUUUAUAAAACGUGAGUACAAUACUCAGUGAGUGAACAAGAAGGGAACAAGCAUACCAUAAGGAAUGUUUAUCGAAAUCAUGAUGCAUUCAUUUUCUCAAAACCAUGCAAUUGUUUUAGCUCCUUUAAACCCCUCAUGUAAACCCCACAUGAGUAAAUCACUUUACAAAAAUCCAUGCUCAACUAUGGUACCAAAGAAAUGGGAAAUAUGGCAAAAACCCACAAGUUAGCAAAAUGGACAGAAAGUUUCUCGCUGUAGCGAACUUCAUUCUCGCUGCAGCGAGAACCAGAACAUCAAGGAAAAAGUCUCAUUUUUCCCUUAAAACAAGUCAUCCUGCUAAAAUAACAAUAGCAACAUGUAACACAUGUAAACUUCCAAAUUUCAACAAAACAAAUGCUUACAUAUUUGCAUUUACAACCAUAUACCCAUCAUCAACAUGCACACCAUCCCAUCAUCAUCAUCAUGCACAUCAUCCCAUCAUCAUCAUCUCAUAUGCAACGGCUUAUGCUAUUGUCACUAGGGGGUGGGAGAUCACGAAGCAUCCCCCCCUUCACUCGGCAAGAGGUGCACUUCACUCCGGAUCACGAAGCAACGGAGCAGUCCCUUCCCUCCUCCUCCAAGCUCUUGGGUGGAGAGUCAUACUUCGCCACAGAUCAUACCUAUCAAAGCACUCAUAGGGUGGAAGAUCACGAAGCAUCCAGCCCUAUAAGCUAUGGGGGCAACAACGGCUUAUGUGCACUCCCACUCACACAUAGCCGGGUCAGCAACGGCUUAUGUGCACUCCUACUCGCACAUAGUCGGGUCAGCAACGGCUUAUGUGCACUCCUACUCGCACAUAGCCGGGUUCAAAUCAACAUGCAAAGAAGCAUCCAAUGCAUAUCAUGCAUUUUAUCAUAUUGUGAUAACACAUAAACCAUUGUAUAGCACAUUUUCACAAUAUAAAAUCAUUUUACUAAAAGCUUGUUCCCAAGGUACAUUUUCUAAGACAAGUUGGAUAGAAUCUUUCAUAUUCCCCAAAACAAGUUUGAAAUGCAAGUCCACUCACCGGUAUCGAAAAUCCAGAUUCCGGGUGCACUCGGACUAAUAGCCCUCAGGCGCAAUUCCUUUGCCUUUUCCGGACGUCUCACCACCUUGACAAAUAACAAAGUCAAGGAAUUUACUAUAUUGUCCCUAAAUUGAUAUAAAUUAAUUUAAAUUACUAAUGCUUGAUAUGUAAAUGCAAAAAUAUGUCCGAUUACCGCUUAAUCACGGUAUCGAUUAAAUUCGACCGAUCACCCGAUUAAUCGGCGAUUGUGUCCAAAUCACCUCCAAAUUAAUUCAUUUCUCCUCUAAUACCUUAAUUUACCACAUACAUUUAAAUAAAGCCAAAUUCAGCAUUAGAACCCUCACAGUUCCUUAUAGAAAAAUUUGGUCAUUUGGUGCACUAGCAUCGAAUUUUUUUCUACAUAACCGUUUCACCUUAAUUCAUCAUUUUCCAUGCCAUUUUCCUUGAAAUAAAAACAAUCCCCCAUUGAUAUUCAGCCCUCAUGGUUCGGCCAACAAGGAACCCUAGAGAAAUUGAAUAUUUCUUUUGUGUUUUUGUUCAUAACCAUGCUUAACUAUCCCUAAACACUAACAUAGUCUAAAAUCAAAUUAUUCCAACAACAAUUCCUCUUCCAUACCCAUUUUUCAGAAUUGAAUUCAUCAUGAUAACUCAAUAUUCAACCAUGGAAAUCAAGAACAAAAGCAUGGGUAAGCUAGGUAUCAAGGAGAAUUAAAGAAAUUUUAACUUACCUAGCUUGUUUCCUUGAAUUCCAACACUUUCUCUUUGAUUUUUCCCACCUAGGGCUUGUUCUUCCUUGGUUUCUCUUCUCUUCUGGUUUGGCUGAUCACUAUGGGAGAAAUGGGCUGAUUUUUAUGCCUUUUAUAAAGAAAAUAAUGAAUGGAUGAGAUUUUGACACAUGUCACCAUUCCAUUGGUCCAUGUGUCAUACUUAGCCAUUAAGCAAUCUCUCUCCACCGCACAUUUCUCAUGUUUAUCCAUUUACAGGAUGAAUAAAAUUCCUUGGCCUUGACAAGUGCUGGGGUGAAAAAUUUACCGAUUUGCCCCCGGGGCAAAAAAAUUACGAUUUUUCCCCUAUACUCCGAAAUGUACCGGAAUCACAUUAUUUCUACUUUUCAACCUCAAAGAACACUAAUAUUGAUCAAUAUUAACCAAAUGGGGCAAAAAUUGUUUUAUAAAAAUUCUCGUUUAGUCCUCUAGUUGUAAAAUUACCAUUUUGCCCUUGUGCUCCAAAAAUAUCAGGAAUCACAAAUUUUCACUGCUAAACAUCAUUUUAUACUUAGAUAAUCAUAAUUAUAUUUCAUAUAAUUAUUCUUGGUCAAAUGUGAUCAAAUCUUGGCUAAAAAUCUCCAUUUUAUCAGCAAAUGGUAAAAUGAUCAUUUUGUCCCUAAUCGGUCAAUUUUCCUAAUGGACUCCAAACUGGACCUUGAACUCCGAAUCACUAUUCUAAGUCAUUCCAUGGGUUUCAAAAUUUUCAAAUUCCUCUCAGAAUUACUAUUUGAACUAGUUCAAGGCUCGAUUUAACUUAGUUGUACCACUCGGUACAAUACCGUCUUUUAAUCGAGCUUGACAGGGUCUCACAAUAACCCCCCGUGCCUUGCGGUAGGCUUAACACUGGAGCUGUAGUGAGACAUGCCUUAAGCUUCUCAAAGCUAUCCUCACAAGCAUCAGACCACUCAAAUUUUGUAUCCUUACAGCUUCGUUAGAGGGGCGACUAUUUUAGAGAAGUCCUUUACAAAGCGAAGAUAAUAGCCAACCAAACCCACAAAGCUUCUAAUCUCUGUAACUGAUGUUGGCCUUGGCCAUUUUUCCACUGCUUCAACUUUCUUUGAAUCAACUUGAACCCCAUCCUUAGAUACCACAUGCCCCAAAAAUGCAACACUUUCGAGCCAAAACUCACACUUGGAGAACUUGGCAUACAAUUGAUGUUCUUUCAAAAUUUGGAGCACAAUCUUAAGAUGCUGCUCAUGCUCCUCUCGGCUCUUUGAAUAUAUCAAGAUGUCAUCAACAAACACCACCACGAACUUAUCCAAAUAAGGCUUGAAUACUCGGUUCAUCAUAUCCAUAAAGGCUGCAGGAGCAUUCGUGAGCCCAAAUGACAUCACCAAGAACUCAUAGUGCCCAUAUCUUGUUCAAAAUGCGGUCUUGAGUAUAUCUUCAUUUCGGAUUCUCAACUGAUGGUACCCAGAUCGCAGAUCUAUCUUAGAGAAACAUUGUGCUCCUUGUAGUUGAUCAAAUAAAUCAUCUAUCCUUGGGAGAGGAUACUUAUUCUUCACCGUCACUUUAUUAAGCUGUCGAUAAUCAAUGCACAGCCUAAGUGAUCCAUCUUUCUUCUUCACAAAUAAUAUCGGUGCUCCCCAUGGGGAUACACUAGCUCGGAUGAAACCUUUAUCCAACAAAUCCUCCAACUGAUCCUCAAGCUCUUUAAGCUCUGCAGGUGCCAUUCUAUAUGGGGGUGUGGAUAUAGGUCUAGUGUCGGGAAUCAAAUCUAUACAAAACUCAAUCUCCUGUUCAGGAGGCAAACCUGGUAGCUCCUCAGGAAAUACAUCCACAAACUCCUUCACCACCGACACUUGACUUACAUCCCCAAUCUUUGCCUAAGUAUUCUUUACAACUGCCAAGUAACCUAUACAACCCUAUCGUAAUAAUCUUCUGGCAGACAUGACCGAUAUCAAAUUGGUUGGAGCAUUACUCCUAUCCCCCUGAAUACUAAAUGAUGGUUCACCGGGAAAAUCAAAUCUAACCAAUUUAUGAUAGCAAUCCACACUAGCAUGGCAGGGUGAUAACCAAUCCAUCCCCAAGAUCACAUCAAAGUCUAAGGUGUCUAACACAACUAGAUUCACCGAAGUGUCUUUGUCUUUGACUCAUACUACAUAAGACUUAUAUUCCCAUUCGGCCACAAAUAUCUCUUUUAAAGGAGUAGACACCACUAAUUGUUCCUCUCUCCUAACACGAUCUCUACCCAACCGAGAUGCAAAACAUGGAGAGAUAAAAGAAUGGGUCACACCAGGAUGAAAUAGUACCCGAGCAUUUAUAUUACAAACGAAGAGAAUACCUGAGACCACGGCAUUGGAUGUUUGAGCCUCCUGAUGUGUUUAAGCAAACACCCUUGCCUAGCCUCUACCAACAGAACUUUGAUGUCCGGACCCAGAUGGCCUGCCCUGAGAGGAAGUACCAGCACCUCUACCUCUCGAUCCACUAGCCUCCUGUCCAGAUGAGGCAGCAACUGAAGGAGUAGACGGAGCUGGCUGGGUGGAACCACGAGUAGAAUCUUGUGUUUGCUGAGCCCUCGGAUAAUCCCUCCUAAUAUGCCCAGGUUGACCACACCCGAAACAAGUUCUUGUGGUAAGGAAGCAUCGUCCACUAUGUCGUCUCCCACAAGUAUCACAAGGGUGGGUGACUUGACUACUUUGUCUAGAAUCUUGUCGCCUCCUAGAACUGAAGGUUCUCUGUCCCAUCCUAAUAUUAGCACCAGGCACGUCACUCCCCUGCUGAGGUAAUCGUGAGUCCCUUUGUGGACCCUGACGGCUAGAAGAUGAACCACCACUGCUGAAAUCUCUACGACCCUGAGAACUCUCUGUCCUGGCCCUCUUUGCUCUAUCCCUCGCAUCCCUACUCUCACUGGUCCUCAUCUCAAUGCGCUGAGCACAAUCUAUUGCUGCGGAAUAGGUAGUGAAAUCUCGAGAUGCCACAGCCCUAAAUAGUGGCUUUAUUAACCCAUCCACAAACCUCUGAAUCUUUAUCUCCUCAGUAGAAAUGAGGUAGGGAGCAUACCGAGACAACUGUGUGAACUUGAUGUCAUACUCCGACACCGUCAUGCUCGAAGUCUGUACCAAAGUCUCAAACUCUCUAGCUCUGGCAUUACGUACACUGAGUGGUAGGAACCAAUCUAAAAAGGCUGCACUAAACUCACUCCAUGCCAAUGGUGCUGCAUCCGUCGGUCUGCCUCUACACAAGGAGCUAUACCAUUCCUGCGCCACAUCCUCUAAUCAGAAAGUGGCUAACUCAACUGACCGAACACUGGAGCAUCCCAAGGCUUUACAUAUUUUCUCCAUCUUAUCCAAGAAAACCUGGGGUUUCUCUGAUGCAUCAGACCCUGAAAAUGAUAGAGGCUUGAGCUUAAGAAUAUCAGGAAGAGAAAUAUCUAUAUGUCCCCUCUCGACCUCAUGAUGUUGGUGAUCGGCCUGUCCUUGGGAGCUAGGAGAUUCCUGUACUGUAGGUCUCUCCUUUACUACCCUCUGUAUAUCCUCCAUACGGGUCGCCAUCAUUUCUACAACCCGGUGGACUCCCUGUAGGCUUGUCGCUAAAUCCUCAAUGGUAAUACCCCCAGCUGGGUGCCUAUCUACAUCACCUGAGGACUAUCCCUCCUCUCGCCUACUCACAGACGUAUCUGCCAUCACCGACCUAGUGGCCCUGCCACGUCGACCUCGACCCCUUCGGGUGGAUUCCCGUGGCCUACCUACCAUCUCAAUAGGAGCAUCUUGCUCCCCCAUCCGUCUUGAGGUGGCUCGUGUAGAAGGCGGCAUUCGUACCUAGACAAGAGUAAACACCUGUUAUUAAACACAUUUAUAAUCAUACUUAAGGAAAAAGGUGGUUUCUAAGAUAGGGAAUCUAUGCGGUCACUUGGUUGUAAAAUGUGUCGCGGUUCAUACUUCACAACUGGAGUGCCCACAUAAAGACCCGACUCUCCGCUGGAACAACAAAAGGAAGUUCUAGGACCUAGACAAACCUAGGGCUCUGAUACCAACUUUGUCACAACCCAAAUUCUGGAUCCACCAAAACCAAAAACUAACUUUUCUAAGGCUUAGUUAGAACCUACCACAACAACCAAGCUAACCUAAGCUUGAUCAACCCCUUAGAGUGUCUCUCACACUCUAAGUAAACAAAAAAUAGAGCAAAAAUGAAGUACAAUUGAUCACCUAGCUUGUCACGACCCAAAUUCCGGGCCAUGACCGGAGCAUGGGCCCAAUGGACAUAGUCCACUAAACCCAAGCAAGCCUAUCGAAUUAUUCUACUCAUCAUACCAUCAAGUAUUGUUAAGUCACAAAUUGUAACUUUAAACCAAAAUAGUAAUAGACAUUGCCAACUCGUACUAGCAUUACUCAUUUAAAAUAUACAUACAUUGCCUACAACAUGUAUCUUAAUAAUUUACAUCAAGUUUGUCUAUACAUCUAAAAAAGAAGACUCGAUUUCCAGCGGAGGGACUCGGAUGAAUGUAUAGCUACUGAAUGCCGAGACAUCUACCAAAAGAUGGACACAGGUCUACAAGGAUACCUCGUCCUAGUUACCGGCUGCCUCGUGAUCUGAAAACAUGAAUUUGAAAUGGUGAGUAUAAACUCAGUGAGUGAACAAGGAAGGGAACAAGCAACAACAAAGGAAAAUUUAAAAUCAUGAUGCACUAGUUUCAAAACAAUGCAAUUUGGUUCAUUCCUAAUAAAACCCCUUAUUGAGCCCUUAAGUGAUUAAUCAUUUGAAAUUCAUGAACCCAUACAUAGCGAAUCAUUUGAAGAAUGAAAGCUUCAAUAUUGCACAAGUAAGUCAUAUACAACAACGAAUCUUUGCUGCAGCGAAAACGCAGUCUCGCUGCAGCGAGAGUGAAUUUUUUGUUUCAGCGACGUUGGAAUUUAGUUAUUAACCGAACAAGGGUUUCUCAACUGGCCGAGGGUUUCUCACUAAACCUCCUCAUUUUUAAACUUAACUCUUUUAAUCCUUAAUGUUGGAAGUCCAUGCUCCCAAAUGGUAGCAAAGAAGUGAAAGAUAGGACAGCAAUUGGACAAGAUAAGAAACCAAAACAGAAAGUUUUUCGCUGCAGCGAGAUUCAAUCUCGCUGCAGCGAAAUUUCUACCCAGAAACAGAAUGUUUCUCGCUGCAGGGACAUUGCAACCCAAAAAAAACAGAAAGUUUCUCGCUGCAGCGAGAAGCUACAGUUUCAUUCUCACUGCAGCGAAAAUGCUUCCUCGCUGCAGCGAGUUUCAGGCCAGUGUACCCCUCCAAACCCGAGAGUUUCUCACUGUAGCGAAAUACAGGGCAUCAAUGCAAACUUUACCUUUCUCCCAAAGGAAAAACCACCUUGCCAAAAGGUCCAAACCAACAUGAAAACACAUAACAAUUUCUCAAGGUUUAACAUGUCAAGUUUCACAUGCAUUACAACCAUAACCCAUUAUCCAUCAAUUUCCUAUAACACANAAACACAUAACAAUUUCUCAAGGUUUAACAUGUCAAGUUUCACAUGCAUUACAACCAUAACCCAUUAUCCAUCAAUUUCCUAUAACACACAUAUUUAUAUAUAUAUAUAUAUAUACAUAUAUACCCAUCAUCAUCAUCACACCAUCCCAUCAUCAUCAUCACCAGCUCAUGCGCACUCCCUACUUGCACAUGGCUGGGUCAUCACCGGGUUAUGCACACUCCCUACUCGCACAUAACCGAGUCAUCCUCGGCUUAUGCGCACUCCUUACUCGCACAUAGCUAAGUCAAUAUAAUUACACAACAUUAUACUCAAGCAUAUAUCUAUAUCAACAUAAUGCAGCCACAUAGAAAUCCAUAAUAAUCACAUUUCAUAACAUAAACCUUUUCUCAAAAACUUGUUCCCAAGGCAUUCAUUUUCAUGAAAAAUUGUAUAAAAUCAUUCAAACACUUUGUCAAAUCCAUCAUAUUUCCAAAAUCAGUUUUGAAGGUAGUCCACUCACCAAUUGAUUGUAGCACUUUUAAUUGACUCAAAUUCCCCUAAUGAUCCAAUUGGAAUGAUGGUGCUUCCUUAAAAACCUAAGAUCACAUUAACAUAAACAAUAGAUUUAUUUACACACUAUGAACUCUAAAAGCUAUCUCUUAGCUAGUUUUCAAUUGCCACUUUAAAUGGCUAUCUAUGUUCACUAUCUUAAACACUAAAAAGUAAUGAACAUACUAAACAAUAAAACAGCUCAUAAAUCACAAUUACUAGCUACUUUCUGCAGCCAAAAAUCAAACUUGGUGCAUCACUCACCCUAGGGUUCCUUUGUAGUCAAAUUCUCUUCUAAUUACUUUUAAAUAAAUGGUGUAAUUCUCUCUUUUUCUCUCUCUAAAAUGUCCAACUAGUGAGAGAAAGUGUGAAAACCAGAUUUUUGAAGGCUUUUAAAGUGAGAGGAUGAAAGAAUUCAAAGGUUCUAGUCAAAAGGGUUCAAAGGUGUGAAAACUAGAGCUAGAGAGAGAAAAUCACUCAAGCUUCAAAUCAAGCUUCCAUGAAGUUUUGAAGAAACGUGAGAGAGGAGAAGAAGAAGAAGAAGACCAGCUGCUGGAAAUUCAAGAAAGUGCUAGAAAUUU
rnacentral:lncRNA from 1 species